AUGGCGUCCUCCUCCGCCGCCGAGCCAGGCGCCCGCCUCUCCGAUCGGACGAGGAGGUCGCCCCUGGGCCUGAGGGCCAUGGUUCUCCUGAUGCACGUGGUCUUCGUCGGCGCCGUCUUCCUGCUCGAUUCGACCCUCGAUAGGCGGAUCCACGAGGAGCCGUGGUAUAUUGGAGUGUAUGGUGUGCUUGUUCUGAUCACCUUAGCGCAAUACUUCUACACUGCUGGUUCAUCUCCAGGCUAUGUUAUUGAUGCAAUGCAAGCCAGUGGUGGGAUGCAUGCAACCUUCAUCAAUACUGCCACUCUUUCAAAACAAUCCAGUUCAAAACAUGGAAGCUUAAAGUCCUCCACAAACCGGCCUGAUCUAGAGAAACUUAGACCAAUGUCUUCUUCAUCGUCAUGGUUGCAUCAAAUUGUGGAUCUUUAUCCUCCUGGGUCAAGCAACAGGGAUUGGACUUGCCAAUAUUGCAAAAUUAUCCAGCCACCUCGUACCAGGCACUGCCAUGAUUGUGAUAAAUGCGUCCUUCAGUUUGACCAUCACUGUGUUUGGCUUGGAACGUGCAUUGGCAAAAAGAACCAUUGUCGUUUUUGGUGGUACAUAUUUGAAGAAUCAAUCCUGUCUACCUGGACUGUUGCUCUGUACAUUGAGUCACUGCAUUUAGAUAUUGAGAAAGUCUGGUGGAAGGAUUUUAUUGGUGUAAUCCUAUUGGCAAUAUUGAUAUUUAUCCUUAUGUUCCUGCUGUUGUUGUUGAUGUUUCAUACUUAUAUUGCUCUCACAAAUCAAACAACCUAUGAAGUGGCCAGAAGGAAGCGGAUAUUCUACUUAAGGGGAAUUCCUGAUAGAGUUCAUCCGUUCAGUAAAGGCAUAUGCAGGAACAUCUAUGACUUCUGCUUCACUAGAGAGAAUGGAUUUGUUCUCGAGGCCGUGCCCCCAAUUGAGGAGCUGGAAGCCAGAGCAGCCCCGUACACAUGCCGAGAUCUGUUUUGCUGCCGGUGCUGUUGA
rnacentral:rRNA from 1 species